UACGUAGGAUCCGAGCGUUAUCCGGAUUUAUUGGGUUUAAAGGGUGCGUAGGCGGUUUGAUAAGUUAGAGGUGAAAUGUCGGGGCUCAACCCCGAAACUGCCUCUAAUACUGUUGGACUAGAGAAUAGUUGCGGUAGGCGGAAUGUAUGGUGUAGCGGUGAAAUGCUUAGAGAUCAUACAGAACACCGAUUGCGAAGGCAGCUUACCAAACUAUAUCUGACGUUGAGGCACGAAAGCGUGGGUAGCAAACAGG
rnacentral:rRNA from 1 species